GUCCACGCCGUAAACGAUGGAUGCUAGCCGUUGGUAAGCAUGCUUAUCAGUGGCGCAGCUAACGCAUUAAGCGUCCCGCCUGGGGAGUACGGCCGCAAGGUUGAAACUCAAAGGAAUUGACGGGGGCCCCGCACAAGCGGUGGAGCAUGUGGUUUAAUUCGACGCAACGCGCAGAACCUUACCAGGGUUUGACAUCCCGCGCUAAACCCAGAGAUGGGUGGUCCCCGCAAGGGGCGCGGAGACAGGUGCUGCAUGGCUGUCGU
rnacentral:rRNA from 1 species